CAUUCAAAAAGAUGGUGUCCAGAUUGGGUUUCCAUGGUGGUAUUCACUAUUCAGGGCACUUACAAAACCAUUAUAUUUCUCCGGGGUAUUAUAGU